GCCACCAUAUGGCUCUUGUUCUUCUGGGUUCUUCUGGCUUGCUUUGCUUUUUUGUUCUUAAGCAUAAACUUUUUAAACAACUUGUUUCACUCCAGAGGAAAAAGAAGCCUGGUGGUAUUUUUAAACUUGGAAGUUCAUUAAAUCUGUUAAAUGAAUGGAGGCAGAAUGGACGUCUUUACGGCGAUGAGUCUUUUCAGUCAAGACCAUAUCUCUUCAUCCAAAAUAGCAUUUUGAGGGAAAAAACUUGAAGAGGAUACGCACAGAAUGAGUCCGUCACCUCACAGUGAAGGCGCUUGAGGAUCCUGUGUUUGGUUGCCACCUGCGUCUCCAUUCUGAGGAGAGGUGUUUGUUUUCCGAGGCGUGCUUAAUGGGAGCCUGGCCAUGGAACACAAUCCCUUCAUUGCUAUUCUCGGCAGUGGGCUUGCAUGUAUUACAAUCGCCUCCUCGGGCCCACACAAGAUUUCCAGAGAGCCAUUCUCUUGGGAAUCCAGGCUGCCGACAUGGGGACAGCACCAGCUCCUCCCAUCCCUUGGCCACUCACUGCCACCAGUGGCCGUAUCAUGUGGUUCUACCAUCAGAAUGCCUCUUCUGUUUGCCUCGCAUAGACCUCUGGCCAUGGAUGCCAGUGAGCAUGCAGUGAAAUUCUCUGACUCCCAGUCUGGUUUUCUCUGCCUCUUUGAUUUUUUAAAAGGCCUAGAUUGAGCUUUCUGAGCAUGACUGUGAUUAUGUUAGUCCGCUGCUUGAGAACUUUCAAACACUCCCCAUUGUCUGCAGCAUGAAGUCCAACUGACAUUCAAGCUUCCCUUCCCAGGUCUCACUCCUAUCCUGCUGCCUCUGGAUCCCCAGAUUCCUACUGUCCUGGCCCCUUGGGUUCCUUGAGUCCUGUAAGUGUGAAUCGCUCAGUAAUGUUUGACUCUUUGCGACCUCAUGGACUGUAGCCCACCAGGCUCCUCAGUCCAUGGAAUUCUCCAUGCAAGAAUUCUGGAGUGGGUUGCCAUUCUCUUCUCUGGGAUCCUUGAGUCCUGUAAGGCUUUUCCAAACUCAGGAUAUUCACAUAUCUUCCCCGCUUUUUCCAUGGCUGACUCUUCAUCCUUCAAACCUUGACUGGCUUAAAAUAUCACCCUCUCAGAAAGAACUUUUGUGAGCCUCUCAUCAGGAACUCUGUUAC